rnacentral:lncRNA from 1 species
UUCUAGAGUAUGGCUAUAGCUCAAAGAGAGAGAGCUGAGACGUCAACUGAUUGAGAAGGAGCAGCUACAGUGACUUCAGUAUGUGGACACAAGAAGUUAGCAAAACACUGAUGAAAAAGAGGGAGACUGUUUUGGAAGAAACUGAAAUCCCAAUAAGUCAUGCUAUCCAUUGUGAUAUCCAAUGCUGAGCAUCAAUCUAAAGACCAGACCGACCCUUUGGAAAGAGAUGUACAAAAAAACAGAGAGCCAGGGGCACUGGAACUUUACCCAUUUUUGGCAGAAAUGAAACUGAGGUGAUGCCCAAUACUGAGAACCGAUCUAUGAUGGAGCCUUUGGGGAGAGAAGAAUAAAACCUGGAGAAUCAACAAACUGAAAUUCUACAUUUUUAUAACAAAGAAAAAAGCAGAGGUAACAGAAGCCCCUGAUGUUUCCCUAGGCUCCCUCCCACCCACCAGGCAUCGCCUCUAUCUUUUUUUUUUCUUGUGUGAUACUGCCGGAUGCUCUACAGUGCUUCCUAUCAGCACUGCUAAGCUUGAUCACAUUCUAAAUGGUGGGUUCUAGAAUCUUUUUG